ensembl:lncRNA
AAAAAAAAAAGUAAAUAACUAAAAAUCUGUUAUCUGUUUUUGCAAAUAAACUUAUAUAUAUGUGUGUGUGUGUAUAUAUAUAUAUAUAUANGAACUGUUUGAAGAAAGCUUGCGGUGCCUCAAGGGAGACCGAAUUCCCCAGAGAAGAUGCAUGGAUGUGCACCUAAAUGCCACUGGAGAGAUGAUCAACUACAGACACCCUCUGCAUCCCCGCCUCAUUAUACCUCCAUACUACGAGCCUCUUUAAUACCCAGCCUUCCUAAAGAGCAGAUGUGCCCUCAGCUGUUCUCUGUGCCAUUACUGCUCCCUGCACUUUUUAUCCUGCACCUCGGAGACCCCAAACUGCCAAACGAGGUGAAUUAUGGCCAGUUAUAUGGAGUGGACUCUGAGCCACGGGGGACAGGACAUAGUCAGAAGAACUAACCACAGUUCUGACCAUUAAAAGCCAGCCUGACACUGGCCCUUCAUCUUUCCUCCUCCACGAGACGAGUGCUCCCAACCUUUGCUUCCCAUGAGAAGAGACAGAGCCGAGAGAAGAGAGCCCCCUCAGCCCAGGCACGCUUCCCCCUAUCAUUAUGAGUUAAGCUUCUCACCUCUACCUUUCUUUCUGGGAGUCUCCCUCUCUUCUUCUCCCUCUCUCUUUAUCAUACUGUGGCUUUUCGGCUUUGUGCUGUUUUCUUUUUGUUGCUCUUUUUUUCUGUCUCUGCCUGUCCUUCUUUAUUUCUCUCUGCAAGGUUAAUUGCAUUAGUUAAAAGAAGCCCUGCCUGUUGGUUGCUUAUGGAGGUCGCAGUUAGGCAUAUGACCCUCACAAAUCUGCUCUGGCCACCCACCACCGCAGCUGAGAUGAUAGGGCUGCUGAUGAGGCUUCAGUUGGUGUCCUGGUCUGCUGGGUAUCCCAAAAUAACAGCGAAGCAGUGAUUUAAAGGUUUUGAUGUUAUUCCUGUUACGCCUGCUUGCGAGCAGGACUGCUGUGAUCUCUAAAGCGCAAGUAUAAAUGAACAACCCCAUUGGCUCAGAAAAAAAAAAUAAAAAUAAAUAAGAUCAACUUUUUUGUUGAUUG